rnacentral:rRNA from 1 species
GAUGAACGCUGGCGGCGUGCCUAAUACAUGCAAGUCGAGCGAACGGACGAGAAGCUUGCUUCUCUGAUGUUAGCGGCGGACGGGUGAGUAACACGUGGAUAACCUACCUAUAAGACUGGGAUAACUUCGGGAAACCGGAGCUAAUACCGGAUAAUAUUUUGAACCGCAUGGUUCAAAAGUGAAAGACGGUCUUGCUGUCACUUAUAGAUGGAUCCGCGCUGCAUUAGCUAGUUGGUAAGGUAACGGCUUACCAAGGCAACGAUGCAUAGCCGACCUGAGAGGGUGAUAGGCCACACUGGAACGGAGACAGGGUCCAGACUCCUACGGGAGGCAGCAGUAGGGAAUCUGCCGCAAUGGGCGAAAGCCUGACGGAGCAACGCCGCGUGAGUGAUGAAGGUCUUCGGAUCGUAAAACUCUGUUAUUAGGGAAGAACAUAUGUGUAAGUAACUGUGCACAUCUUGACGGUACCUAAUCAGAAAGCCACGGCUAACUACGUG